rfam:Tetrahymena thermophila SB210 genomic scaffold scf_8254666, whole genome shotgun sequence.
UAAACCACAAUUACUUCAAUUCUGUUAAUUGCUCUAAAUCAAUUGAUAGAAAGUAAGAGUGGUAAAUUAAAAAUUGCCACCUAAGAAGAUAGAAUAAUUAAUUUACCUACCUUCAAACGAGGGAAUUGACAAUC